GUGUAGCUUAGUGGUAGAGUGCUUGUUUAGCAUGUAUGAGGUUCUGGUUUCAAUCCCCAGGACCACA
rnacentral:tRNA from 1 species